rnacentral:rRNA from 1 species
AGGGCACCACCAGGAGUGGAGCCUGCAGCUUAAUUUGACUCAACACGGGGAAACUUACCCGGCCUGGACACUGGAAGGAUUGACAGAUUGAGAGCUCUUCCUUGAUUCAGUGGGUGGUGGUGCAUGGCCGUUCUUAGUUGGUGGAGCGAUUUGUCUGGUUAAUUCCGAUAACGAACGAGACUCUAGCCUAUUAAAUAGGCUCCCGGCUUUUAAACGCCGGGAGGACUUCUUAGAGGGACAGGUGGCGGUUCAGCCGCACGAAAGAGAGCAAUAACAGGUCUGUGAUGCCCUUUGUUGUCCGGGGCCGCACGCGCGCUACACUGAAGAGAUCAGCGUGCUUUAUGUUCCUGCUCCGACCGGAGUGGGGAACCCAGUGAACCUUCUUCGUGAUUGGGAUAGAAGAUUGUAAUUAUUCUUCUCGAACGAGGAAUUCCCAGUAAAUGCGAGUCAUAAGCUCGCGUUGAUUACGUCCCUGCCCUUUGUACACACCACCCGUCGCUGCUACCGAUUGAAUGAUUU